GACGAACGCUGGCGGCGCGCUUAACACAUGCAAGUCGAACGGUAAGGCCUGCUUUCCCUUGUGGAUUUCGGGUACUCGAGUGGCGAACGGGUGAGUAACACGUGAGUGAUCUGCCCCCAACUUGGGUAUUAGCCUGGGAAACUGUGUCUAAUUCCCGAUAGGACUGCAGGGUGGCUCCGGUGGUGGAAAACGAUUUUCUUGUGGUUGGGGAUGAGCCCGCGGCCUAUCAGCUUGUUGGUGGGGUAAUGGCCUACCAAGGCGGCGACGGGUAGCCGGCCUGGGAGGGUGGACAGAGACAUUGCGACUGAGAGGCGGCUCCGAAUGAUACGGGGGGCAGAGGUGGAGAAUCCAGAACAAUGGGCGGAAGCAUGAAGCAGCGACACGGAAUGGGGGGUGUCGGGCUUCGGGUUGUUAACUCCUGUCGCCCGCGAGGAAGCCACCUGGUUGGAAGGGUGGUGACGGUAGUGGUAGAAGAGGCACCGGCUAAGUACGUG
rnacentral:rRNA from 1 species